GCAUGGCUAUGGAUUUAUGGUGGGAUCUAUCCCAUGAUCUCUUCAUAGUGUACUCCAUGCAAAAUCAAAAUCUGCUUCGAACCAUUGACUGGCCUAAAACUAAUAGGCCUGCUUCACUGAUGUGGGCAGUACAGUU